rnacentral:rRNA from 1 species
GACGAACGCUGGCGGCGUGCUUAACACAUGCAAGUCGAACGGAAAGGCCCUGCUUGCAGGGUACUCGAGUGGCGAACGGGUGAGUAACACGUGGGUGAUCUGCCCUGCACUUCGGGAUAAGCUUGGGAAACUGGGUCUAAUACCGGAUAGGAGCCAUCUUUAGUGUGGUGGUUGGAAAGUUUUUUCGGUGUAGGAUGAGCUCGCGGCCUAUCAGCUUGUUGGUGGGGUAAUGGCCUACCAAGGCGGCGACGGGUAGCCGGCCUGAGAGGGUGUACGGCCACAUUGGGACUGAGAUACGGCCCAGACUCCUACGGGAGGCAGCAGUGGGGAAUAUUGCACAAUGGGCGCAAGCCUGAUGCAGCGACGCCGCGUGGGGGAUGAAGGCCUUCGGGUUGUAAACUCCUUUCGCUAGGGACGAAGCUUCUUUGUGACGGUACCUAGAUAAGAAGCACCGGCUAACUACGUG